rnacentral:rRNA from 1 species
CUUUCAACAACGGAUCUCUUGGUUCCAGCAUCGAUGAAGAACGCAGCGAAAUGCGAUAAGUAAUGUGAAUUGCAGAAUUCAGUGAAUCAUCGAAUCUUUGAACGCACAUUGCGCCCCUCGGUAUUCCGGAGGGCAUGCCUGUUCGAGCGUCAUU